rnacentral:rRNA from 1 species
GGAUUAGAUACCCUGGUAGUCCACGCCGUAAACGAUGGUCACUAGCUGUUCGGAUUUCGAUCUGAGUGGCUAAGCGAAAGUGAUAAGUGACCCACCUGGGGAGUACGUUCGCAAGAAUGAAACUCAAAGGAAUUGACGGGGGCCCGCACAAGCGGUGGAGCAUGUGGUUUAAUUCGAUGAUACGCGAGGAACCUUACCAGGGCUUAAAUGUGGUUUGACAGCUUUAGAGAUAGAGUUUUCUUCGGACAAAUCACAAGGUGCUGCAUGGUUGUCGUCAGCUCGUGCCG